CAAAGAAUUAGGAAGGGGAGUGUAACAAUGAAUUCUUUAACAGUGGAGUUCUGGUUUGAUACACUCUGUGGCUGCAGAAGCGGAAUGGUGGAUAGGGCAAACAAGGAAGAACGGAGUGAUUAAAGAAACAGGUUGAAGAUAUAAACUAUAAUGAAGUAAUGAGACACAGUCUCUCCCCCAAGGAGCUUCUGGCUUGAUGGGAUAUAAAGGCAAACAGCUAGUUAAGAGUGACACAUGUGCUCUCAGAGGAGCUGAGCAGCUGAUCUGGAAGGGCAUAAAGUGAAGGCAUGAAACCUGGGCUUGGCGAGGACAGGAAUGAGUUAGAAAAGGUCUUGGUCUCAGGAUCGUGAAUUCAAGCUCUGCACGGAGUUUCAUGUUGGGCAUGGAGCCUACUUAAAAAUAAAUAAAUAGACCAAAAGGUUAAGAAUAAAGGCAAACAUAAGGUCAUUACUUAAAUAGUUUAUAAAAAUUACUGAGGUGGACAAUAAGGAAAUGUGUGGACAAAAGUGGGAACCAAAGAGUACAGAAGUAUAGGAAAAUCACAGAUGGCAAACUGGACUAACAAAAGCAGGAAAAAAUUAUUCCUAUUGGAAUAUAACUUUUUGAGGACAAGUAUACAUAUACUCCUCCAUUUAUCAAAAAUAAAGGCAUUCCUGUAAAAGAGAUAGUAAAUAUAAAAGCUAGAGUGGACACUUAAAUGGCCACAGAAUUCAAACUGUAUCAGCUACAUACACUCUAGGUUUUUUGACAGGCUUGACCAUGAACAAUUUUUAGAGCAUUUCUAGACAUCCACAUGCAGAAGAAUGAAACUAGACCACUCUCUUUCACCAUACACAAAGAUAAACUCAAAAUGGAUGAAAGAUCUAAAUGUGAGACAAGAUUCCAUCAAAAUCC